rnacentral:rRNA from 1 species
ACUCAAAGGAAUUGACGGGGACCCGCACAAGCGGUGGAGCAUGUGGUUUAAUUCGAAGCAACGCGAAGAACCUUACCAAGGCUUGACAUCCUUCUGACGUACUCGUAACGGAGUAUUUCCUUCGGGACAGAAGAGACAGGUGGUGCAUGGUUGUCGUCAGCUCGUGUCGUGAGAUGUUGGGUUAAGUCCCGCAACGAGCGCAACCCUUAUCUUUAGUAACCAGCACGUAAAGGUGGGGACUCUAGAGAGACUGCCAGGGUGAACCUGGAGGAAGGUGGGGAUGACGUCAAAUCAUCAUGCCCCUUAUGUCUUGGGCUACACACGUGCUACAAUGGCUGCGACAGAGGGAAGCGAAGGAGCAAUCCGGAGCAAAACCCAAAAAAGCAGUCCCAGUUCGGAUUGUAGUCUGCAACUCGACUACAUGAAGUUGGAAUCGCUAGUAAUCGCGAAUCAGAAUGUCGCGGUGAAUACGUUCCCGGGUCUUGCACACACCGCCCGU